UACAGAGGGGGCAAGCGUGGUUCGGAAGUACUGGGCGUAAAGGGCGCGUAGGCGGCCUGUUAAGUCGAACGUGAAAUCCCCGGGCUCAACCCGGGAACUGCGUCCGAUACUGGCAGGCUUGAAUUCGGGAGAGGGAUGUGGAAUUCCAGGUGUAGCGGUGAAAUGCGUAGAUAUCUGGAGGAACACCGGUGGCGAAGGCGGCAUCCUGGACCGAUAUUGACGCUGAUGCGCGAAAGCCAGGGGAGCAAACGGG
rnacentral:rRNA from 1 species